rnacentral:lncRNA from 1 species
CACUCAGCUUUCUGAAAUGGUGUCCCACCACAAGGACUGGAGAAGGGUAAACCUCAGGUUCUCCUCCUGCCUUUUGCUAAGUAUAUGUCUUGAUGACAAGCCUUCUGCUAAUGAGCUGUGUUUCUGGACCGAUCAUGGUAGAAGUCAAUUGAAGUGUCCCUCACUUGGGGUUUCUUAAGGAAGGACUCUCCGUCUGUCGCCCAGGCUGGAGUGCAGUGGCACAAUCUCGGCUCACUGCAAGCUCUGCCUCCCAGGUUCACGCCAUUUUCCUGCCUCAGUCUCCCGAACAUGCAAGGUCCUCAUGAUUGUCUCAAAACUAUAUAGAAUUGAGAAGCUGCACUGAUGAGGAAACUGAAACAGAAAAUCCAGAGUAAAUUCCACCAGGCCACACAGCAAGGUCUGAUAGAGCCAGGAGAGACUUUAUGAAAUCCAGACUCUCACACUAAUGCUCUAUCAGCUAGACCUCCAUGUGAGUCUCCCCAAUGUAGGUAGGAAGCACUUUCCCUAAAAUGCUCAUAAAGCAAAUCAGAGCAAUGCUUCAUUUCAUGUGAUUUCUAAUUUGAAAUGCAAACAAUUGCCAAUUUGUUUGACUUG